AAAUGGUAAACAAUCUUAGCCACCAGUGGGUUUCGAGUUUAGUCAAAUCAGAGGUGAAGUGUUUCUUUGUGCGAAAACAGUUAUGGACGUAAGAGAGGAUGUUUAGGACCAAUUGUGAUGAGAAGCGGUUGAUGAGGAAGCAAUCAGAUGACCAAUUGAAUUGCAUUCGCUAGAUACAUCAAUCUCACACAAGAUUGGAUAGAUAAUCAUUAUCGAGUAUGGGUUCUUUCAAAACGAAGGAGGUUAUGGAAACUGGGCACUUUUAAAACCAUUCAUCUAGAUGGCUGCGCUUGAUUUCUAGGUUUGUUAGAAAGUGACAAAGUUUGGUAUUAAUGUGUUAUUAUU
rnacentral:lncRNA from 1 species